UUGAUGCAUGACCUUGCAACUUCAAUUACUGGGAUAGGCACUACCAUAAAUCCUGUUGGAUUGUCAAAUACAAGAAAAUUGCGGACGUUUCUUUUGCCACAUCAAAGAUUUUUUUUGGAAACAUCACAUGAAAUGUCAAUUCAUUUGAACUUUAAAAAGUUACGUGCAUUUGGUGUUUCAGGUUUUGGAAUUAAAAAGGUGCCUAAUUACAUAAAACGCUUAAAACAUCUAAGAUAUCUUGAUG
rnacentral:misc_RNA from 1 species